rnacentral:ribozyme from 11 species
UAAGCAAGGAGCAAAAAGGUGAAAAUAAUCCACCCUUUGGAAGAAGGAUGCUCCUUCGUCAUUCUUUACGUUCGUCUAUUUUUUUUGCUGUUGUUUUGGAACGGAUGUAAUUUUGCGUAAAAUGUAUUACUACAAGGAGGGUCUAAAAUAC